GCCAUUACAAAUAAACUAAUCUUUUGAAAGGUUUGUUAUAUAAAUGUUAAAGUUAUGGCAUUCUGAAGUUUUCAGUUCACCUAUCUCUAUCAGAAUAUAAAGAGCUGAUGAUUAAGUGAAAUCAAUUCAUAGUUCUGCUUGCCCCACUGAAUUAUUUUCUAUCUAGAGUCCGGUAUGUCUAAUUAGAUGAUUCACGAAGAUGAGCCUCUUCUCACCUGACUUGACUGCCAUCUUUUUUCUUUGAACUACGUGACAAUUUUUGCUUGACUGUUGGUCACUUUGAAGCAAUUUGGUUUUAUAAUCUUUCUAUUACUGCAGGAGUUCCUGUUGCUUUUGUG
rnacentral:misc_RNA from 1 species